UACGUAGGGUGCUAGCGUUAAUCGGAAUUACUGGGCGUAAAGCGUGCGCAGGCGGUCUGUUAAGACCGAUGUGAAAUCCCCGGGCUUAACCUGGGAACUGCAUUGGUGACUGGCAGGCUUUGAGUGUGGCAGAGGGAGGUAGAAUUCCACGUGUAGCAGUGAAAUGCGUAGAGAUGUGGAGGAAUACCGAUGGCGAAGGCAGCCUCCUGGGCCAACACUGACGCUCAGGCACGAAAGCGUGGGGAGCAAACAGG
rnacentral:rRNA from 1 species